GUGAGGAAUAUUGGUCAAUGGGCGGGAGCCUGAACCAGCCAAGUCGCGUGAAGGAAGAAGGAUCUAUGGUUCGUAAACUUCUUUUGCAGGGGAAUAAAGUGCAGGACGUGUCCUGUUUUGUAUGUACCCUGAGAAUAAGGAUCGGCUAACUCGUGCCAGCAGCCGCGGUAAUACGGAGGAUCCGAGCGUUAUCCGGAUUUAUUGGGUUUAAAGGGUGCGUAGGUGGUUUGAUAAGUCAGCGGUGAAAGUUUGCAGCUUAACUGUAAAAAUGCCGUUGAAACUGUCGGGCUUGAGUGUAAAUGAGGUAGGCGGAAUGCGUGGUGUAGCGGUGAAAUGCAUAGAUAUCACGCAGAACUCCGAUUGCGAAGGCAGCUUACUAAGCUACAACUGACACUGAAGCACGAAAGCGUGGGGAUCAAACAGGAUUAGAAACCCGGGUAGUCC
rnacentral:rRNA from 1 species